GACGAACGCUGGCGGCGUGCUUAACACAUGCAAGUCGAACGGAAAUGCCCUGCUUUUGUGGUCUGCUCGAGUUUCGAAAUGGUGAUUAACACGUGAUUAACCUGCCCUUGACUUUGUGAUAACUUCAGUAAACUGGGGCUAAUACCGGAUAGUAGCUCCUGCUUCAUGGUGUGGGUUGGCAAGUUUCGGCGGUUGGGGAUGGACUCGCGGCUUAUCAGCUUGCUGGUGGGGUGGUGGCUUACCAAGGCUUUGACGGGUAGACGGCCUGUGAGGGUGACAGGACACAUUGGGACUGAGAUACGGCACAGACUCAUACGGGAGGAAGCAGUGGGGAAGAGUGCACAAUGGGCGGAAGCCUGAUGCAGCAACGCCGCGUGCGGGAUGACGGCCUUCGGGUUGUAAACCGCUUUCGCGUGUGACGAAGAGUGAGUGACGGUAAUGGGUAAAGAAGCACCGGCUAACUACGUG
rnacentral:rRNA from 1 species